ensembl:lncRNA
GCCUCAGAGCCGCUUCCCGAGUCUGCAGCCUGGCCACAAAAUAAAUCACUCCUGGCCCGCUCCUGGGGAGCUGGCCCCACGGACGGUGGGCCUCGCUGGUUAAAAUGCCGCUGCCUGAGGUUGCGUCCACGGGGCUGUCCUUGGGGUCCACCCUUGGGGCUCUGUGUUUGGGGGGCCAUCCUUGGGUUCUGUCCAUGGGGCCCUGUCCAUGGGGUCUCAUUCCUGACCUGCACUUAGAGGGCAGGCAGUGGGGAUGUCUGCACCUCAGAAGCCGAGGCCGUCCCUGGUGGUCCCCAGGGCAGCUGAGCCCUCCCUCGUGCAGUGACAGUCCCGGAACAGGAAGAAGGCGCUCAACCCGGGAAGCUCCAGCCAAGAUCGUCAAAGAGCGCACCCAGCAGUGGCCAGCUCAGUCCCAUCAGAGAAACCCCGAUGGGCUCAUUCACAAUCCCUUUCACCGCUGCCCACUGGUGAGAAGCUUGGAAGGCCCAGCACCUAGCUCAGCACCCUGAGGCCAGCCGCUCCGCCCUCACUCCUGUCUGUACCAGCACCAGGCUGCAGUGUCCUGACACCUGGGGCUCGGCCCUGCCUCCUCGAAAGGGAAGAUCCGACUGCAGAGACACUUGGCCCUUCGGGAAAACGAGGACCCAACUGAUCCAUGUGAGCACAGGCUCAGCCAGCAGCUCACAGUAACCCGGCCUGAUCUCAGAGGUGAAUUGUGCAGAAAUCAAAAGGUGGUAUCUCUGUGGCGACUGGCGUUUCGUGUAAUUGGCACCGAUGGUCACGCAGCCCCCAGGGCUGAGGUCCCACAUGCUGCUGAUUUUGGUGAAAUCGAACAACUUGGCUGUGACCGCAGAGCGGCUGAACCGCGAGGGCCCAGGUGGGGAAGGGCGAGGAUGGAGCUGCUCAGGGCUGCACUCCGGUCCCAGUCAGGAGCCAGCCCAGGCCAGUCUGUCCUGCAGCUGCGGGGUCUGGGUGACCCAGGCCCCGUCUCAGCCACCUCCUAGGCGACGGGUGCCCAGCCAGCACCAGGCGCUGUGCCCCGGGUAGAGGUGCCGGGCUGUGCACUGCCCGAAGCAGAGCUGCCUGGCCCUGGCUGUCUGCCUCCUCCGCUGCCCAGACACAUUUGGCUCAGGUCCUGCCCGCUCCCACCCCUCGGCGGCAGGGCCAGUCACCCUUGAUAAUGACGAUGCUUCACCAAAGGAGCCGGAACUGCAGAUGCCCCUGGUUUUGUUUGUGCAUCUGUGGAGCUGGGGGUGAAACCAGGCCCUGUGCAUGCUGGGCAAGUGCUCUGCCCCGGGCUGCACCCCGGGCCGUGCAGGCUGUCAGCCUGCCUGUGAUGUCACUGCCCUGCCACCACACACCACACUUGCGUGAAUGCCCGUAGCAGGGUCUGACGCAGAAGCAGAGGUCAAGGGAAGCUUCUUGGGAAGGUGACACUGGAGGAGGGGAUACAAGGACCUCUGAGGCCAAGGCCAGUGGGUGCAGGGUCACCUGAAGUCCAGGGUGGGGUCCGGCCGGAAGGAGCAGGAGCUCCCAGAUUCCAGUUUCCCGGAGGGCAGGUGUGCACUGGAGGACAGGAGGCUGCAGCAUGGGAGUGGGGAGCAGGGACAGUGGGGACAGGACCAGCAUGGCAGGGGACCUGGUCCUGUGGACAGGGGCCUGAGGGCUCUGACAGCAUGCUCGGGUGUGGGUGUUAUAGACUGGGGUCUCAGCCUUGGGACCUCAGAUUGGAGGCAGGGGAAGUAGGGCCAGGGGAGACCAGUCUGGAAGUGGUGACAGCGCCAGGCAGGAAACAGUGAGUUUGGGGCAGAGGUGGUGGUGGAGAGGGGCAGCGAGGUACAGAAUCUGCGUGAGUCAGGAAGGACACAGGCCUUGUGCUCGCCUCACGACCACACUCGGAUGCACAGCUCUCACACCAGGGGAGGCACUGGGAAGCCAGACCACCACAGAGCCCAUCAGGGACCCCACCACGGGGCCUACCACAGAGCCCUGCUGCCUGCCAUCAGACAGUAGGAGCGCAGGAGGCCACGGAGGGUAUGCUGGGGUAUUGACCCUCUUCCUUCCUUGUCCCUCAGCGAGGUCACCUCAGGCCAGUGUCCCCCUCAGAGGCCAUGGCUCCUCUCCCAGUGACCACGGCCACGGGGUCCUCCAUCGGUGUCCUGCCCACCCCUCUUCCUUGUCCCUAUGUUGCUGUUUCCUGCCCUCCUGGGGCUCCAUUCCCCCCACCGCUUGUGGGGUGCACAACUCCAGGUGGCCCACACCCAGAGUGGCCCAUCUGCAGCCCACCUAGCCACUGCCACUUGUCCAGGCCUGGCUGAGCUUCUGGAGGCAUGUACCAGGCAUUGCAGGACGACCCCAGGCAGGGAGCCCGCCCCCCUCCCAGCCACGGGCACCACAGGGGGCAUGUGGUAAACAUGCAGAUCCCCGGGCAUGGCCAGGGCACAGCGCAUCAGCACCCCUGGGCCAGGCACUCAGGGAGCCUGUGCCACGGCCUACUGUGGGCUGAGCCCCGGGCUGUGGCGUAUUCUGUGCAAAGCGGGACAG